rnacentral:rRNA from 1 species
GACGAGCCACACGAACGUUAUUCGGAAUUACUGGGCUUAAAGGGCGCGUAGGCGGCUUUGCAAGUGACGGGUGAAAUCCCUCGGCUUAACCGAGGAACUGCCUGUCAAACUGCAUGGCUUGAGACCGGGAGAGGUGAGUGGAAUUCCCAGUGUAGCGGUGAAAUGUGUAGAUAUUGGGAGGAACACCAGUGGCGAAGGCGGCUCACUGGACCGGUACUGACGCUGAUGCGCGAAAGCGUGGGGAGCAAACAGG